CCUACGGGGGGCUGCAGUAGGGAAUAUUGCUCAAUGGGGGAAACCCUGAAGCAGCAACGCCGCGUGGAGGAUGAAGGUUUUCGGAUUGUAAACUCCUUUUGUUAGAGAAGAUAAUGACGGUACCUAACGAAUAAGCACCGGCUAACUCCGUGACAGCAGCCGCGGUAAUACGGAGGGUGCAAGCGUUACUCGGAAUCACUGGGCGGAAAGAGCGCGUAGGCGGGAUAGCAAGUUAGGUGUGAAAUCCUAGGGCUUAACCAUAGAACUGCAUUUGAAACUGAUAUUCUAGAGUAUGGGAGAGGUAGGUGGAAUGCUUGGUGUAGGGGUAAAAUCCGUAGAGAUCAAGAAGAAUACUCAUUGCGAAGGCGACCUGCUAGAACAUAACUGACGCUGAUGCGCGAAAGCGUGGGGAGCAAACAGGAUUAGAUACCCGUGUAGUC
rnacentral:rRNA from 1 species